AUACGGAGGAUCCGAGCGUUAUCCGGAUUUAUUGGGUUUAAAGGGUGCGCAGGCGGCCAUUUAAGUCAGCGGUUAAAUCGUGGGGCUCAACCCCAUUCUGCCGUUGAUACUGGGUGGCUUGAUUGCGGUCGAGGUUGGCGGAAUUCGUUGUGUAGCGGUGAAAUGCAUAGAUAUGACGAAGAACACCGAUUGCGUAGGCAUCUGACCAGACCGCAAAUGACGCUCAUGCACGAAAGUGCGGGGAUCGAACAGGAUUAGAUACCCUGGUAGUCCGCACAGUAAACGAUGAAUACUUGUUUUCGGCGAUAUAAUGUCGGAGGCAAAGCGAAAGCGAUAAGUAUUCCACCUGGGGAGUACGCCGGCAACGGUGAAACUCAAAGGAAUUGACGGGG
rnacentral:rRNA from 1 species